rnacentral:rRNA from 1 species
GUGCCAGCCGCCGCGGUAAAACGUAGGUCACGAGCGUUAUCCGGAUUUACUGGGCGUAAAGCGCGUGCAGGCGGUCAGGCAAGUCGGGCGUGAAAUCUCUCGGCUCAACCGGGAGGGGUCGUCCGAAACUACCAGACUAGAGGGCAGUAGAGGGAGGUGGAAUUCCCGGUGUAGUGGUGAAAUGCGUAGAGAUCGGGAGGAACACCUGUGGCGAAGGCGGCCUCCUGGGCUGCCCCUGACGCUCAGACGCGAAAGCUAGGGGAGCGAACGGGAUUAGAAACCCCGGUAGUCCUAGCCGUAAACGAUGCAGACUGGGUGUUGGCAGCUUCAAACCUGCCAGUGCCGUAGCUAACGCGUGAAGUCUGCCGCCUGGGGACUACGGCCGCAAGGUUAAA